GUGUUUUGCUGCAAAUAAGCUCUUAGCCUGUAUUAGAUGCAAGAAUAGAACCAUAGAAUUACAUAUUAUUUUUUAUAUAUAGUUUUUAUAUAUUAAUAUAAUCUUUGCAAAUGUAGAGAUUAUGCACACAAUAGUAAAAAUUGGCAUUUGGAAGGACUAGCAAAGGAUAUGAUGCUGCCAAAUAGUUUUCUAAAUCAGUCCCAAAUGUGGCCAGGCCUCCAUGUUGGGCCAGUCAAGAGCUGUCAGCCAACAGAUCACAAGCACUUGAAGGCAAUAGAUGCUCCCAUUGACUCAUAUGAGUCCAGAAGAUUAUGUUUUCCUUAGCAGCAUGGUGAGUGAAUCCACAACAACUACUUCAUGUCAGUUCAGUGUGCCUUGAAGAGUGUUGAGGCUACACAGUGACCCAUCUGCAAGCUUUCCUGGGCUACUUAUUGGCAUCG
ensembl:lncRNA